UGAGUAUAAUCGUAUUCACAUGUACUGCGAAGGCUAGACAGUAAUGUGAGGGUGAGGACAGGUUAUGGCAGGCACUGUUCAGACAGCCGUCUUGUGGCCACUUCACAGUUCCACAGAGAUGGUUUAAGGCCAUGAACUUUGCUCAAGGGCCGUGCGUUUUGACAGAGAGGAACGGCAGCGCUCAUUGCCUGCUUCGUUUUUCAAGAUGUUUCCAUCAGUUGUCCUGUUGAUGAUAAUGUGCAAAUAGAAGGACAUUCUGCCGUGGUGAUUAGGUUCUUCAGGAGCCUAGUGGGCGAGAUCUCGGGAAGAGUAAGAGCUCAAGCCAUGGCACUACUCAUGUGCCUCAACCAAUGGGUACCCUGCUGGCAAAGCCUGAUGGUGCUCACCAACCUGACCCCCUCACGUACAACCCAGCUUCAAUUUUUGGAUGAAAACAAGCAGAUUUUUAUUAGGCAAAGUCACCAUACAUUUACAUUAACACGAUUUAAAUUCAAAUAAGAUAAGUGGAGUCAUA